rnacentral:rRNA from 1 species
CAUGAAGCCGGAAUUGCUAGUAAUGGCAGGUCAGCAUACUGCCGUGAAUACGUUCCCGGGCCUUGUACACACCGCCCGUCACACCAUGAGAGUUGGAGAUACCCGAAGCCUGUGAGCUAACAAACGAGGCAGCAGUCGAAGGUAGAAUCAAUGAUUGGGGUGAAGUCGUAACAAGGUAGC